AAAAGUCGUAACAAGGUUUCCGUAGGUGAACCUGCGGAAGGAUCAUUAGUGAAUCUAGGACGUCCAACUUAACUUGGAGUCCGAACUCUCACUUUCUAACCCUGUGCAUCUGUUAAUUGGAAUAGUAGCUCUUCGGAGUGAACCACCAUUCACUUAUAAAACACAAAGUCUAUGAAUGUAUACAAAUUUAUAACAAAACAAAACUUUCAACAACGGAUCUCUUGGCUCUCG
rnacentral:misc_RNA from 1 species